rnacentral:ncRNA from 2 species
GUAGCCAAAUGCCUCGUCAUC